CUAGCUGUAACAUUGAUAGAGCAACACACCAUCUAUUCGCCCGGGUACUACGAGCACUAGCUUAAAACCCAAAGGACUUGGCGGUACUUUAGAUCCCCCUAGAGGAGCCUGUUCUAUAACCGAUAAUCCCCGUUUAACCUCACCCUCUCUUGUUUCUCCCGCCUAUAUACCGCCGUCGUCAGCUUACCCUGUGAAGGCCUAAUAGUAAGCAAAAUUGGCACCCCCUAGAACGUCAGGUCGAGGUGUAGCGCAUGUGAGGGGAAGAAAUGGGCUACAUUCAUUAAUCAUAAUGAACACGAACGAAAUACUGAAAACGUACAACCGAAGGAGGAUUUAGCAGUAAAUGGAAAAUAGAGUGUUCCAUUGAAAUCGGCUCUGAAGUGCGCACACACCGCCCGUCACUCUCCCCAAGCAUUCUGACUUACCUAACUAAGACACUGCAGCCGCCACAGGGGAGGCAAGUCGUAACAUGGUAAGUGUACUGGAA
rnacentral:rRNA from 1 species